CCUCAACUCACACACGAAACGCUGUUUACAUUAAAGCUGUGACGGCAAAUUCUCAUUUACAUCAUUUAUGUUCGGAAAGAACUAAAAUAUUUACAGGACACGGGGAGACCCAAGUAGGGGGCAGCGUGAAGGGUCUUACCUAAGGACCCUCACUGGAUUAGGCUCAUUGCACAACCCAGGAGCUCCAGGUCUGACUCAGGGAUGUAGGUGAGGACCAGGCAGGUGUGGGGCAGAGCGCGGUUCUUCGGCCUGGACGUUGAAGUCCAUUCCAGUGAUGGCAGGGAGAUGGUGUGAGGGUCCGUCUGGAAAUGAGCUGUGGAUGGUUGGUGGUGACCCAUUCGAUUCAUGAAUCCAGCUCAAUCAUACACGGAUUGAACCUGGAUUGCUCCUGUUAAAUAUUUGUUUCACAGUUCCUAUAUGUUUGUCUGGAAAUUAUCUGUAUUAGAUAGGGCC